UUCCACUUUGUAGCCUACAUGACUUGGGUUAGUACAUCCUAGGGGUGCUUUAACACCCAUUGUCUUAAAGUCAAUUGACUUGAGCACAUUGAUUUAACACCCGUUACAUGGGUAUUGUAGAAAGCUUGAUAAAGUUAGCAUUUAAAAAAAAGGAAAAAGAAAAAAAGAAGAAGGUGAAAGUGGUGACCUCUGUAUGCAUUUUGUAUGUGUUUAUUCUAUGUUCUUGGUUGGACUUUUUCUUUGUUAUUAAGCAAGUUUAUUUACAUAACACGAGAUUGGGCUUUGAUGUUUGCUCAUUUGAUGGACUUUAUUGCUUACAAAUACUUUUGAUUCUCCAUUUUAUAAUCCUUGUGUUUGAUUAAACCUUUGUGAUUUGAUGUGCCUUAAAUCCUAACAGGCUUUGCUUCAAAUGCUCCUAGACAGAUAUUAGUAUUGGCUCUAUUUGUCUAUCCUUUUGCAUAGUGUUGGCACGUGCUCAUGAUUUUUAUUUUUAUUUUGUAUGAAGAAGGAGUCUUGGUAUAAUGUUGGCAUAGUCAUUGAUGUUUAAUUAUGUUUCUUUUAUUUUCUUGUUUCAGUUUAUUCCCUUUAUUUUUUAUCUUAUUUUUCUUAGAUGCUAUAAUUGUCUUCAUCCUUGACAUAUCUUUAGGGGGAGAGUUAUUGUUCAAAUGCACAAGAUGAUAUGAUCAUGUUUAUUAUUUUUCUUUCAGUGGUAGUUUUUAGUUUUUGUUUAAGUCCUUAAAAAAUAAAAAUAAAAAUAAAAAUAAAUGAUUUUUUUUAAAUUUUCAAACAUAGUGUCAUUUUAUGCUUCUUGUUUAAUUUUGCAGCUAGGCUUUGCUUCAUGUUGCACCUCAAGCUUCGCUUGAAUAUCAUAAUUACUGAGAAGGACACAUGAUAAACUGAAUCCAAGGAUUGCAGUGCCACUGUGAAUCCUGUCAGUUGCAGACUUGUAGCACAACAUGUUCGCAAGAAUAUUUCUUUGGAAAUAUGUAUGACAGAAUGAAGAGCAGAAGACAAGUAAACGAAGAGGUAAGUAUCAUGUAUUAUGUUUAUACAAUUGAACCUAAAAUUGUUUAUGUUGUUCUUGUAGGUGAUGAAUGGAUCUUGGCUAUGAAAGAUGAGACUUUUGCACCUGUGGCAUAUUUGGAGUUGGUGAGGUUAUUGCUUGUUGCCAAAUGGACAUCAAAAGUGCCUUCCUUAGUAGUGCUUUCAAGUAGCCCCACAUGUUGAGCAACCUACAUUCACGACAAGAUAAAGCCUCUUAAAUGCUUCAUUGGUUAAUCUCUAUGCCUUUAUAUGUUGGGAUUGCAAACUAAUUUUCUCCUCCUAUUUUUGCUAUUAUAUAUGCUCCCUUAUGUUCUUUCCUUGCCCUUUGGAUUUCCUAACAAAAAGAGGGAGAGAUGACUAUGUGAAAUUAUGAUAAAAAAAGGGUGAGAGAUUGUGUUGUAGAAUUAAGAGGGAGUGAUGUUGUAGUUUUGCUUUGAAUUACAUUUCUUCUCCCACAUGCUUCACUGGUUUUGUUGUUUUAUAAUGUGCAGGGAUUCAGAGCUCUGAGUUUAGAGUAGGAUUUUAUUUGUUAAAUCCCAUGCAAUUUUGUUUAAGUUGUAAUAGGUGUUUUGUUUAGGAAAUGCUAAAGGGGGAGAUUGUUAGUAUGAAAUUGUGUUGGCAUUUCCUAGAACUUAGUAUUGGUUUGGAAGUGUCAUUUAGCUAUAGGUUUGAAGCAAAAUUGUUGUCUCUGAUUUCCAAAAACUGCAGGAUUGAAACAACUCAGCAAUCUCGAAUUCCAGA
rnacentral:lncRNA from 1 species